GCCCAGGAGUCCCCCGGUUUUCCCUGUUUCCUCACUUCUCCGCUAGCCUGCUGCCGCUUCUGUUCUCUGGGCUCACCUGCUUUUGCGCCCCCCUAUGAAGGGCAUUUGCUCUGAAAACGCAGGCGCUAAAAAGGAAAUGAGAGCUCCUGCAAAAUAUGAAAACAGAUCUGCUUUGGAGCUAUCCCUGAACCAGGCAUUGGGAUUGGAGUUGGGUACAUGGAGGAACUAAGACAAUGUUCUAGAAUAUCAAAACAUGGUCUGUGUCCUCAAGAACAAGUCAAGGAGUUUCCCUGCACAAGCUCUCUUUUUGCCUGCUCCCAUCCAUGUAAGACAUCACUUGCUCCUCCUUGCCCUCUGCCAUGACUGUGAGGCCUCCCCAUCCAUGUG